UUCCAGAUAUUCCUCUGUAAAAAAUAACAUACCCAGCCUGAGACUUGGUAUCUCAGGGAGGAGCAAAUUUUCAAGUAUUGGUUUGGUCUGAGCACAUUCAAACAUCAUCAUCAAUUUGUGAGUUCCUCGCUAGGAAGAAAUGCCAAAGGUUCAUCCUGUACUGUGACCUAAUCCUAGGUGCUAAAAUAUUGGGAUCUCAAGGAAAGUAGCUGUGAGACAAGACCGCAAUGGCUUGGACUGCAGCAUAGUGUAUGGCACAGUUGAUCUGAGGGGCUGUAAAGUUGUCUGGCGAGUGGAAAGAAAUCCUGGCCAAGCAGCACAGUGAGAAGCUCAAAGCAACACUUCCACUGUUGUCUUUCAUUUGCAGCUAAUCAUGCACACAAGGGCACCGCUCAGUGUUGCAAGCCAUUUAUAUACCUACCCUCCUGUUAAGCUUUAUGUGAAUUAAUUGCUGCUUUCCAUUCCUUCCUCCAUGUUUUGCUCUAACUCUCUAUUUGAACAAAACACUAAAAUUGCAAAAUCCAGCUGAAACUUAACGGAAAACACCAAGUUCCAUCUGGCCUCACAUAAAUUAUGGUCAGAGUUGCCAUUUUGAAGCACAGUUGUUGUUGUUGUUGUUGUUGUUUAAUUCCAAACUAUAAAUCAGCUCAAACUGAGUUCAAACCAGCUCCAAAUUGGGACCAGGUUUGCUCGGGGAGUUUGCAGACUCGAGCAAAAACUUUGGGUGAAGCCUGGCUAAAUGCUGAACUUGCAGCGAGCCAGGUGAGCGUGUGGCCAUGUACCAAAGGUUUCACAGGGCCGUAAGUUUAACAGAGAGAGGCCUGAGGCUGAUUUGUGCUAUGUGGGGAUGUCCUUGCCUUCAUAGAGGGGAGUUGGGAGGGGAGCACAGCUCAGGUGGCAGCACAGGCCACAGGUGCCCCUCGUUUGGCCUUGAUAGGCUGCCAGCCCUGCCCCGGCCCUCCUCAGGGAUAUCUGCACCCGAGGAGCACAGUUUGCUCCUUUUGGCUUUGUUGGGGGUGAUACUGGCAGCAAGUCCUGCUCGUGUUAGGGAUUCUGCUACAGCCCUGAAGGACAAUGGGACGGGGGAGCCUGGCGUGGAGGUGCUGGCAGGCCUGCGGCCCUGUGGGCCAGAUCUGCUUAAAGUUCCUGGAAAAAUGGCUGUUUGAUGCUUGCUGGAAGUGGAGUAAUCCUAACAGUCGAGAUUUGGAGAAGCCGCCACCUUCCAGCAAGGCCAGAGCACUUGUUUGGGAUGCCAGGACACUCCUCCAGCUCCCAGCGUGGCCAGGAAAACCUCAGGGCAGGUCAGGUCCAGCAACAUGAAAGCGUCCCCGGCUCUGCAGGGAUGUAAGCGGGGACAGCGAUGGGACAGAGGGAGCGAGGCUGAGCACGCUCCUCAGCAGUGACAGCAGCUUCUACAGCACUGAAUGCAAGUUAAAAAGAGCCAGAGACAAGAUUUGAAAAUGUUUUGUUCUUUCUUUAAGAAGAACGUUUGAAAGACUAAAACUUCAGAUAUAAAAAUUUCCUCUCUUUUCAAAGCACAAUCCAUUUAAUGAAAAUAAAAUUAUUAUAAUAUAUAUAUUUCCCAAUCCUUUUAUCCAUG